ensembl:lncRNA
GGGGAAAUGAAUACCUCAGAGGGAACAUGGAGAACUUUCCAUCCUUUGUGUUCGAAGACACACUGUCCUUCCACUUCUCUGCCACCAGACCACCCUCUCAGCCCUCUGGGGAUAGAAAAGGAGAAGAGGACUCUGGAGUUGAGAGGUAGAAGCACCAUCCAGUGACCCCCUGGAAGGCCGCAAUCAAGAGGGCUCUCUUCUGACUCUGGUUCUGGGUGACCCCAUCUGUGGAUUGCAGGGGAGUCUGCUAAUGUUCUAUUUCAACUCUUACCCUUCUUGCUCCCUUGAGUAAUAGAACCCUGAAUUUAUUUGAGGCAGCAGUGUGCCCAGCUAAACAUUAAUCUCCCAGCCUCCCUUGCAGCUAAGCAUGGCCAUGUGACUAAGUUCUAUCCAAUGAGAUAUGAGCUAAAGAAUUGUAGGUGGAUUCUAGAGAGACUCAUUAAAGAGGAGGGGACCAUUUACCUCUUUUCACUCCUCCUUCCUGUUGUUUGGAAUGAGGUGAUGGUAGCUGAGCUCAAGCAGCCAUCUUGGACUCAGAAAUAACCUGAAGAUGAAAUCUUCCUGGUCGGGCUGGCACAGGCAAAGACAGAAGGACCCUGGGUCCUUGAGGAUCAAGGGCCACUCUUAGCCUGGACUGCCCACCUGCAGACUGAGAGAGGAGAACAUUUUAUCUUCUUUAAGCCUCUAUUUAGAGGUCUUUGUUAUUGUCAGCAAAGGCAAUUUCUAACUGAUGCAUGGAAUCGUCCAAUGCUGAGUUUUGGCUGUGGGUAAACAUGUUCAAAUUUCCUCUAAGGCCACUGCUACUUUUCCUCCUACCGUCUUUGGAAGGGUCAUCUCGCCCAAGAGGGCCCAAUUCUUUCACAUCUUUCCUCUCCUUUUUAGUUGUUUUCCUCUGUCUUCCUCUCUCUUUCUCUCUCUCUUCUUUCUUUCCCUUUUCCUCCUUCCCUCUAACAUUUAUUGACCAUCUGCUACGUUCCAGGUGCCAUGCUAGCUGCCAGGACCAGAAAUAGGUGCAGGAGACACUCCCUCCUCUCCAGCGCCUCAGAGUCCAGGCUGUCAGGAAAAUGUAAAGCAGUGUCACCACCAGAGGCACGGAUGGAAGCAGGAGCUAAAUGGAGGGAAAGGCAUGGGCUUUCUCUGCUGGCCUUGCCACUGACUUCCAGGACUUAGCCUCAGUUUCUCCACCUGAGUCAGGAGCAAGUAAAGAGAUGGACAGCCCUCGGCAAGAGGUGGAGAAGCGCAGAGGACCUGGUUCGCAGGAGGAGAGAAGCGAGGAGCUACAAUGAGGGGACUCCGGGACACCGCUCUUGGAAGCAGCGGGAAGGUGCAGGCGCGGGAUCUCAGAUGACCACCCAGUCGGCGGCCCGCGCGUCUUUCUCGCUCGACCAGGCCCCGCAGCGCCGCCUGGCGGACACGCGGCGCUCCGCCCGGGCUUCGGCGGCAGCCGGUCGAGGAGCUGGGGAUACCCGGCAGUUCAGGAAAAAGCCGGAGGGAGCCCGGGGGCGCGUCGCGGGAGGGACAUUUAUUCCCGGAGCGGGGCUGGCACCUCGGCCUGGACCCGCAGCACAUACUAGCACCCUCUCUUCACUAACCCCGCUCUCGGGAUGACUCAGCUACGUCGAACACGUCAGGGAACCCUUUCUCCCCUCAACUCCCGGCCCCCAGCUAUGGAAUUUUGCUGCCUCUGAGUAGCUUCUCCGGGAAGGCGGUCUCGUUAAAAUUUCAAGGCGUUUUGGUUUUGAUUUUUGUUAAUAAAAUAACAAGAGUGGGCGUGGAGGCACGAAGGUGCCCAGUUUGUCUCAGACCUGAAAUUCCAGGGCUGGGGAAUUUCUAGGUUCUUCCCCGCCCGAGGGUCCCGGUGGGCGAAGCGUGGUGGCCCAAGGGCCCUGUCCGAAGACAUGAGGCAAAGGAGGACGAAGUGUGUGGGUCGGAGUGGCCAGGGGUGUGUGGCUGGUGCUAGUGAGAGGGUGAGCAGGGGCCUGGCCUUCCUGUCCCAAGCCGUGGGCACUGGAGUCGGUGGAGACUCAGGUCGCACCACCUCCUGGAACGUCCUCACCUCCCACUGGGGGUGGGGAGGGGGUGGAGGUCUGUUCGAAAGCCUGAGGGUGACAAGCUACCUCAUCGGCAAGGGUUCUCCAGGAACCAGGCCCAGACAGGCCCAGCCCAGGCUCUCUUAGCCGGACCAGAGUGGGAGCAGGGUUGCGGUGUCCCCAGACACCACCGGCCAGGGUCCUCCUCGGGCGCCAGCUCCGGUUCCAGGAGUCGGGAGGUCGGAGGCGCUGGAGGCUGACCCCCUCUGCGGAGGCGGUGACGGAGCCUGAGUCUCCACCAAGUCCUCUCCAGGCGCAGGCCUGGGUGCUCCCCGCGGCAUCCUGGAGGUCGCCGGAGCUGCUUUGCGUGCAACCCGGGAAGAGGCCCCGCAGCCGCGAGGCUGACGCUGGGAGGAGAAUGAAAAAAAACCUCAGUCACAAACCCGCGAGCAAAUGGUGGCGAGGGCCGCGCGGUGGACCGACCGAGGCCCGAGGCCGAGGGCGGCUUCUGCAGGGCGGUUGAGCCUCCCGAGGCAGCAGGGGGAGCUUGGCAUCGAGGGAGGCGGGUAGUUCGGAAACCCGGAACAACCUGACCCCAGGGAGAGGGGAGUUCGGGGUGCGCGUUCAGCGCUGCGACUGCGUGUUCCUGGGAUCCCAGAAAAGGCGUGCUCUGGGCCCAGAGCUUCCGCGGACCCGGGAGGGCGAGUGCCCAAACAGCCAAAGGAUCAGAGCUUGCUUCCAGGCCUGGAGU